CUCUUUGUGGCUGGCCUCAUUGU
rnacentral:miRNA from 1 species